AAAAAGUACGCCCCAGCUAAGGUGUAAAAACGCUGACUGCUGGUGGCUGUAUUCAACCACUUGUUUACUUGUACCUGUUGCUUCCGUGGAGUUACGGGUGCUCGCCCUGUUCGCAGGUGUGGGUUACCUUCCACGGGUGUAGUUUGAACGCUUGUUUAGUUGCAUGUAGUGUCUGAAUAACUAUUUUAAUAAAGUUA
rnacentral:misc_RNA from 1 species